ensembl:snRNA U6 U6 spliceosomal RNA
AAUUCUUGAGAUAAGUGUUUACUAAAAUUGGAAUAAUACAGUGAAGACUAGCAUGAUCCUUUUGGAAGGAUAACAUGCUAAUUUGUGAAGCAUUCCAUAUUUUU